GACGAACGCUGGCGGCGUGCCUAAUACAUGCAAGUCGAACGCUUCUUUCCUCCCGAGUGCUUGCACUCAAUUGGAAAGAGGAGUGGCGGACGGGUGAGUAACACGUGGGUAACCUACCCCUCAGAGGGGGAUAACACUUGGAAACAGGCGCUAAUACCCCACAACAGUUUAUGCCGCAUGGCAUAAGAGCGCACGGCGCUUUCGGGUCCCGUUGAUGGCUGGACCCGCGGUGCAUUAGCUAGCUGGUGGGGUAACGGCUCACCAGGGCCACGAGGCGUAGCCGACGUGAGAGGGUGAUCGGCCGCACUGGAACUGAGACGCGGCCCAGGCUCCUACGGGAGGCAGCAGUAGGGAAUCGUCGGCAGUGGACGGAAGUCUGACCGAGCGACGCCGCGUGAGUGAAGAAGGUGUUCGGUGCGUAAAGCUCUGUUGUGGGGGAGGAACAGGGGCGUUAGUAGCUGAACGGCCCGUGACGGUAACUGGCCAGGAAGCCACGGCUAACUACGUG
rnacentral:rRNA from 1 species